rnacentral:rRNA from 1 species
UACGUAGGGUGCGAGCGUUAAUCGGAAUUACUGGGCGUAAAGCGUGCGCAGGCGGUUUUGUAAGCCAGAUGUGAAAUCCCCGGGCUCAACCUGGGAAUGGCAUUUGGGACUGCAAGGCUGGAGUGCGGCAGAGGAGACUGGAAUUCCUGGUGUAGCAGUGAAAUGCGUAGAUAUCAGGAGGAAUACCGAUGGCGAAGGCAGGUCUCUGGGCUGACACUGACGCUCAUGCACGAAAGCGUGGGGA